rnacentral:misc_RNA from 1 species
AACCAUUCUCACCUGCGGCUAGACCUGCGGAAGGAUCAUUACACAAUACAAUAUGAAGGCUGUCCGCAGCUGGAGUAUUUUAUUACCCUUGUCUUUUGCGCACUUGUUGUUUCCUGGGCGGGUUCGCUCGCCACCAGGACCACCAAAUAAACCUUUUUUAUGCAGUUGCAAUCAGCGUCAGUACAAACAAUGUAAAUCAUUUACAACUUUUAACAAUGGAUCUCAGAUCGGAAGAGCACA